rnacentral:rRNA from 1 species
UAACACAUGCAAGUCGAACGGUAACAUUUCUAGCUUGCUAGAAGAUGACGAGUGGCGGACGGGUGAGUAAUGCUUGGGAACUUGCCUUUGCGAGGGGGAUAACAGUUGGAAACGACUGCUAAUACCGCAUAAUGUCUUCGGACCAAACGGGGCUUCGGCUCCGGCGCAAAGAGAGGCCCAAGUGAGAUUAGCUAGUUGGUAAGGUAACGGCUUACCAAGGCGACGAUCUCUAGCUGUUCUGAGAGGAAGAUCAGCCACACUGGGACUGAGACACGGCCCAGACUCCUACGGGAGGCAGCAGUGGGGAAUAUUGCACAAUGGGGGAAACCCUGAUGCAGCCAUGCCGCGUGUGUGAAGAAGGCCUUCGGGUUGUAAAGCACUUUCAGUUGUGAGGAAAAGUUAGUAGUUAAUACCUGCUAGCCGUGACGUUAACAACAGAAGAAGCACCGGCUAACUCCGUGCCAGCAGCCGCGGUAAUACGGAGGGUGCGAGCGUUAAUCGGAAUUACUGGGCGUAAAGCGCACGCAGGCGGUUUGUUAAGCUAGAUGUGAAAGCCCCGGGCUCAACCUGGGAUGGUCAUUUAGAACUGGCAGACUAGAGUCUUGGAGAGGGGAGUGGAAUUCCAGGUGUAGCGGUGAAAUGCGUAGAUAUCUGGAGGAACAUCAGUGGCGAAGGCGACUCCCUGGCCAAAGACUGACGCUCAUGUGC